AGAGUUUGAUCCUGGCUCAAGAUGAACGCUGGCGGCGUGCUUAACACAUGCAAGUCGAACGAAGCACCUCAGAUCGAUCUCUUCGGAUUGAUAUCUCUGGUGACUGAGUGGCGGACGGGUGAGUAACGCGUGGGUAACCUGCCUCAUACAGGGGGAUAACAGUUAGAAAUGACUGCUAAUACCGCAUAAGCGCACGAUACCGCAUGGUAUUGUGUGAAAAACUCCGGUGGUAUGAGAUGGACCCGCGUCUGAUUAGCUUGUUGGCGGGGUAACGGCCCACCAAGGCGACGAUCAGUAGCCGACCUGAGAGGGUGAUCGGCCACAUUGGGACUGAGACACGGCCCAAACUCCUACGGGAGGCAGCAGUGGGGAAUAUUGCACAAUGGGGGAAACCCUGAUGCAGCGACGCCGCGUGAAGGACGACGUAUUUCGGUAUGUAAACUUCUAUCAGCAAGGAAAGAUGAUGACGGUACUUGACUAAGAAGCCCCGGCUAACUACGUGCCAGCAGCCGCGGUAAUACGUAGGGGGCAGGCGUUAUCCGGAUUUAC
rnacentral:rRNA from 1 species